rnacentral:rRNA from 1 species
CGAACGCUGGCGGCAGGCCUAAUACAUGCAAGUCGAGCGCCCUUUCGGGGGAGCGGCGGACGGGUGAGUAACGCGUGGGAAUGUGCCCUUUGGUACGGAACAACACAGGGAAACUUGUGCUAAUACCGUAUGUGCCCUUCGGGGGAAAGAUUUAUCGCCAUUGGAGCAGCCCGCGUUGGAUUAGGUAGUUGGUGAGGUAAAGGCUCACCAAGCCUACGAUCCAUAGCUGGUCUGAGAGGAUGAUCAGCCACACUGGGACUGAGACACGGCCCAGACUCCUACGGGAGGCAGCAGUAGGGAAUCUUGCGCAAUGGGCGAAAGCCUGACGCAGCCAUGCCGCGUGUAUGAUGAAGGUCUUAGGAUUGUAAAAUACUUUCACCGGGGAAGAUAAUGACGGUACCCGGAGAAGAAGCUCCGGCUAACUUCGUGCCAGCCGCCGCCGUAAGAC